UAUUCACGGCUGCGGUAGAAUGCUUUUGAGAAGUGAGGAAAUUUUCACCAGUUUUGUGAAUGGCGUGAGUGAGAGAGAGGCAGGUGGCGGCCCUCCGCGGUGCAUCAGGAAGACAUAAAUCACCGAGCUUCAGGGUGGCUGGACUGCGGCCUCUCCCCCUCCUCCCCCCACCAGCCACAAGCCCCGUCCCCCGCUACCAAGCCCUCCCUCAGGCCACGCGGCGCCGGGACCUGAUAUAAGCCCACGAUAUCACCAGUGUCUCCUCCCACAGAUGAAGGCGCCCCACACCACCAGCUCUCCUUUCUCCUCUCCUCGCCGUGACAUCAGCGGCCAGUGACAUCAAGUCCUCUCCCAAGAAAGACGUCAGGAAGAUUUAAGAGUCCGUGAUGGCGGCCUGCAGCGUGAUGAAGGGAGGCGCCGCUGCUGGUAAACGUGGUGUCCGGGCCAGGGGGAGUGUCGGCAACACCCUUACAGCAUUUUUGUAAACGAAAGAUAUCAUUGUCGCGGCGGAGACAGAUUGUGCAUUACUUCACAGCUGCAUGUGCUGAUGUCAGGAGGCCAUGACGGGGCGCUGUUCCUGCCGCCUUUUCCUUGGUAGGCUUGUGGGGCGCGGUGGUCACUGCGGGCACGAGGCGGCGCCCUGACCUCCCUGCUGCGUGCUGCUGCCUCACACACUUGUGCAUCCUGACUCCGAGGAACACGAAGACCGCUGGCUGUAUUCAUGGAGUCCUGCCCGCCGCCCCUUCACCCUCCUCAUGUGGGAAAGAUGAACCCUACAUGAUGUCCCUUCCUCUUCAUUACCACUACCACCACCAUCACCACCACCACCACCACCGCUACCUGCCUCACCAACUUCCUCCUUGCCUCGCCCUCACAUCCACUGCACACAACUCGUUUCUGCUUCAAGUAACAGCAAAAAUCACUAGCCCUGCCCGAGGUAAGACGCUGAAUUAAAAGACUGAACGGUAUUACCUAGCCUAACCUAACCUAACGUAACCUAACCUAACCAAACCUAACCUAACCUAACGUAACCUAA